AACAGCGAGAAUGGCCGCGUCAAGGGGUAGGUGCAGUCGUCGCCGUGGUGACCCCAGCUCCUGAUGCGUCCGGCCCAGGGACAGCCAAUGGCUGUAGAGCUCUUGGGCACCUGACAGGAGGGGCGGUCCGCCCGCCGGAAGGGGCGGGGCGAGGCGAGCGCCGAGUCAGCGAUAUGGAUCAGAAACUUUCGAAGUUGGUAGAAGAGCUCACAACUUCAGGAGAACCCAGACUAAAUCCUGAGAAAAUGAAGGAACUGAAGAAAAUUUGCAAGUCUUCAGAGGAGCAGCUGAGCCGUGCCUACCGCCUGCUGAUAGCACAGCUGACCCAGGAACACGCUGAGAUCCGCCUCUCAGCCUUCCAGAUCGUGGACGAACUCUUUGCCAGGUCUCACCAGUUCCGGAUGCUGGUUGUUUCCAACUUCCAGGAGUUCCUGGAGCUCACGCUGGGCACGGAUCCCGCACAGCCUCUGCCACCCCCCAGGGAGGCGGCACAGAGGCUGAGGCAGGCGGCCACCCGGGCCGUGGAAGGGUGGAAUGAGAAGUUCGGGGAGGCCUACAAGAAGCUUGCCUUGGGCUACCACUUCUUAAGACACAACAAAAAGGUGGAUUUUCAAGACACAAAUGCUCGGACUCUGGCAGAAAGAAAGAGAGAAGAGGAGAAGCAGAAGCACUUGGAUAAAAUUUACCAAGAAAGAGCCAGCCAGGCGGAGAGGGAGAUGCAAGAAAUGUCUGGAGAAAUUGAAUCCUGCCUGACGGAGGUAGAGAGCUGCUUUAGGCUACUGGUGCCUUUUGACUUUCACCCGAACCCGGAGACAGAAUCGCUUGGCGUGGCUUCCGGCACGUCCGAUGCCCUUCACUCCUCCUGCGCGGGCCAGGUGGGCCCUUGCUGGUCUGGCACCCCUGACCCCUGGGACGGGGAGCAGCCCUGCUGCAGUAGAGACCUGCCUGCCUCUGCAGGCCACCCUAGAGCGGGUGGCAGGGCACAACCACCCCAAACAGCCACAGGUGACCCCUCAGAUGAGGAUGAGGACAGUGACCUCGAGGAAUUUGUGCGGAGCCACGGGCUUGGCUCACACAAGUACACCCUGGACGUGGAGCUCUGCUCAGAGGGCCUGAAGGUGCAGGAAAAUGAGGACAACCUCGCUGUCGUCCACGCCGCCCGCGACACACUCAAGCUCAUCCGGAACAAGUUCUUGCCGGCCGUGUGCUCGUGGAUCCAGCGCUUCACCCGCGUUGGGACCCACGGUGGAUGUUUAAAGCACGCCAUUGACCUGAAGGCGGAAUUGGAGCUUGCGCUGAGAAAAUACAAGGAGCUGGACAUCGAGCCCAAGGGAGGGCACAGGCACAGGACGGAAGCCCUGGGGGAUGCGGAGGAAGAUGAGGAUGAUGAGGACUUUGUGGAGGUCCCUGAGAAGGAGGGGUAUGAGCCCCACAUCCCCGACCACCUGCGCUCUGAGUAUGGGCUGGAGGCAACACUAGAGAAAGACACAGCUGCGUGGGGCUUGCGGACAAGGAUGAGGAAAGACGAGGAGGCGUCGGACCCCACGUCUGCGGCUGCUCAGCUGCGGUGGCUCCGGGAACACUUGCCGCCACCCUCGUCUGCCAGCCCCCCCAGAGUGUUGCCAGAGUCACAGGAGGCCCAGAAGCUGGCAGCAGAGCGGGCCCGGGCGCCCGUGGUGCCCUACGGCGUGGACCUGCACUACUGGGGCCAGGAGCUCCCCACAGCCGGGAAGAUCUUCAAAUCUGACUCCGAGCACCGCUUCUGGAAGCCCAGCGAGGUGGAGGAGGAAGUGGUCAAUGCCGACGUUUCUGAGAUGCUCCGGAGCCGCCACAUCACUUUUGCAGGGAGGUUUGAGCCUGUGCAGCACUGGUGUCGCGCCCCGAGGCCAGACGGCCGGCUCUGUGAGCGCCAAGAUCGGCUGAAGUGCCCUUUCCACGGGAAGAUCAUUCCAAGGGAUGACGAAGGGAGGCCACUCGACCCGGAGGACAGGGCUCGCGAGCAGCGGCGGCAGCUGCAGAAGCAGGAGCGCCCGGAAUGGCAGGACCCUGAGUUGAUGAGAGAUGUGGAGGCAGCCACAGGGCAGGAUCUUGGCUCGUCCAGGUACAGCGGGAAAGGCAGGGGGAAGAAGAGGAGGUACCCCAGCCUCACCAACCUGAAGGCUCAGGCCGACACGGCCCGCGCUCGCAUCGGGAGAAAAGUCUUCGCCAAGUAAGAGUGGCUGCUGGGCCACCUCCCACCGCGUGGCCCCAACGUGAGGGUGUUCGGGGGGGCCAUCUGAGCUCCAAGAUAUUCCAGGGACCUGGGGCCUCCAGGGGCUCCCCUGCUUUGAGUUCCCCUGGGGGACCACCCACCCCUUCCCCUGGGAGGGGCAGUGCCAGCCAGCAGGGGCAGCAGGCAGGGUCUGGUCAGGAACGCCCCUGAGCAUUCCCCAGGAUAAGAGGGGCUCGACUGCCAGGCACCAUCAUCCUCGCUUCCUGGGGGAGCCGUGUCAUGACACAGGCCUCGGCUGGUACAGAGUGAGCCCCCUCGUCUCUCCCUUGCCUGGCUGUGCCCCCAGGUCAGUGCCUGCGUAUUUCUGCAGCGGUGACUUCAGGGAGGGUGGUGACUGCAAAGGUGGCCACAACAGAGGUCCACGCAUCAGCCCCAGCAGAGCCCACUCCCAGCGUGGCUGCUCUGAGCACUGGCUCUGGGAGGCUGACCUGGUGUCUCUGCAGCCCAGCGUGGGCCUGUGUGACUGGUGAGGCCUCGGCAGGGCCAGAGUGCAAAGCCCACCAGCCCGACAUCCCUGCAUGCGGUCUGUCCGCUGGGGCAUCAGCCGCCCACACGGCCUUGUGUUUCUGUCUUCACAUUGCCUUUUUCUCGCCCAAGAAAAUCCAGAAUGCUUGCUUAGAAGCCACCUGAGGCUGCUGACUCCCUCCCACAUCUGUGCCAAGUCCCUGCUGGUGCAGGUUUAUCUGGUAGCGCCAGUGAGGUGGCCCCACCCAUCGCCGUCCCAGAGACCCUCCCUUGGACACCCCUGGAAGGUGCUGAGUGCGCCGGGCAGAGGCGGCCCCUCCUGGCCAGCAUGACCUUGCACCGGCCUGAGUGUGCUCGGGCGGGAGGCGCCUUCGCAGCGCUCAGACCACGCAUCCCCUGGGCUUGUGGGUGGUGCAUCCACAGCUUUGCUUGGGUGGGGCAGGGGUGCUGGUGGGGGCUGCGGAGAGGCUGCCUGGGGCCCCUGGCACAGAGCUGGACCCAUCACGUCAGCCAACCACACAGGGCGCCUCGGCCCCUGGUAGCUCACGAUGAGGCUGUUUUCCUGUGGACCAGCCAGGGGCAGAGGCCAGCCUGGGUGCUGAUGCCCAGCAGCAGGCACGGCUAGUGGCCCCGUGCCAGGCCUCCUCCCUGUGUCUCAUGGGGACAGUGAAGCCCAUGGCAGGAGCUGGCUCUUCACAGCAGCUGUGUGGCCCAGAGCCCUCCCCACAGAAAGGACCUGGGGUGACCACAGGCGAAACCCUGCCUUGAGGGGCCCCCAUAGCAGUGCCUGGCAGCCCCACAGGGCCACAGCUGAGCGGAGGUUUCACCACCUUGUGGCCUCAGGCCCUGCUGGCUCCACACCCUCGUGUGUCGUGGCACCUGAACUGGUCAGCACAGCACACCUCAUCCCGCUCCCCGGAGUGCCUGCCCUGCCCACGCCCUCCCUGCUACGGCCCUCCACAUUUCCAUCCCUGGCUGUAGAGCUGUGUGUGCAGCCGUGGGCAGGGCCGUCCUGAUGCCUCCUGGCUGCAUCUCCUGCAAGGCCACUCCCCAGGAGACCAAGAGGGAAGCUGUGCCCUCAUCGUGGAGUGUGGGAGGCCACAGGAGAAGUGCCAAGAGCAGCUGUGCGGAGGGUCGUGACAGCCAUGAACCAGAUGGACCAGAAGAAGCACGAGAAGUUUUCAAACCAGUUUAACUAUGCAC